GUGGCCCAAGUCAGCGAGGC
rnacentral:rRNA from 1 species